rnacentral:lncRNA from 1 species
CCCAGCAGAACAAAAGGGAAGUUAUCAGGAUCCGAUGGGCUAGCCUGUUAAGGUAAACAACCCAAGUGAGACAGACAGAACAUGAUUCUAGACUGUUAAUGAAUAUAAUGAAAAACACUUCACCUGAAUUAGAAAUUCUUCACGCCAGUUGUUCAGGUUAUCAAAUGAUUUCAUAGAAUUAACAUCAUAAACUAGAACACAGCAAUCUGCUCCACGGUAGAAUGCAACACCAAGACUUUGAAACCUUUCCUGACCAGCAGUAUCCCAUAUCUAAAAAAAGAAGGGCUAAGCAUCAUAUAUAAGUAGUACAGAAACAAUAGAGCAAUAACGGGAAAAAAAGAGUACAGAAUCAGAGAUACCAGAGAAGCUCAACAAAAUAGAUUUCUGAUGUACCCAUUCGCAUUUGAGCUUUAACAGGAAUCGAUGAAACAAAAGGAGCUGAUAUGGAAUGGUUUGAAAUUUAAAAUACUACGAAUUACCGUGAAAAAUGUACAUUUACUAAUUUGUAGGGGUUAAUUGCUUAGGUUAAGUAAAGAGCAGGGAUUGUGUGUGUGUGGGGGGGGGGGGGGGGGGGGGGGGAGUAACAAUAACUAAUAACAAUGAUAAGCUGUAAAAAGCCGAAGGCUAGUUCUGAACUACAUCAUGCCAACAUAAGGAGUACAGCUUUAUGCCUUAGUAAAUUCUUGAAAGAACUAUGCCUUUCUUGGAGGUGUUCUGAUGCAAAAUUAUACAGUGUGUUUAUUUUCAUUCAAAUGACUACACUAUAAGAGGGUACACUAUAUGAUGCUCACAGAAAUUAAACUCCAGCAAACCAUCUACUUAAAACACAAUAAGAUCAACAAAACCUGUUAUGCUAGGUCCAUUGUCCAAGCACGAUAAUCUUGGCAAGCAAAACCGAACAAUCAACAGAAAACCUUUUUCUCUUCUACUUUAACAUCAGAGGGAACCAGUCCAGUAACUAAGGAAGAUCAUGCCAAUUCGCAGUUUCGCACUGAUGCUCACAUGAACGAACUGAACUACUCACGGAGCAAAGACCAGAGCAGAGAAAACCGUACCUGUAGAGUGAAGAGCCUAUCCUCGAAUUGUACCUCCUUGGUGAGGAAAUCUGCGCCAAUCGUAGCCUUGUACUGGUUGCUGAACUUCUUGUUCACAUAUCUGAAUUAAAUCAAAGCUCAAGAAAACACAAGUACAGUAGAAAUCUCGUCUUUCCGAAACGGAAAAGCUAACUAACUCGACGCAAUUAUCGCAUCUCUAUACGAAAUCUCAGGAUACUGGUUCAUCAAGGAAGUCUUCCCAACCCUAGAUCGCAGGAGACCAAAACAUAGAGUCAGCUAGAAAUCGACAGAGGAAACGAAAAAAUAAAAAGAGUCGCGGAAAACUGGGAGAUCCGAACUGCUCACCCGCUGUCGCCGAGGAUGAUGACCUUGAGGAGGGUGCGGCGGCGCGAAGCCAUCGGGAUCUAGGGUCCGUGGCGAUCGGUCUCGCUCGUGCUCCAGGGGGACUGGGGAGGAGGGGAGAGGAGAGACGAGAUGGGACGGCGAAACCCGUGCGAGGAGCUGAGCUGUCACGGUGCGUUGCGCGACGAGAGGAAGGGAGAAACCGGAAGAAGAACUGGGGAGUCAACCUGACUCGGGGAGAAGGGUUCGUGAAGUGGCCACCACACGAUGGGCCACAGCGAUACGACGUGUAGAUAUUCGUUCGAUUUUGUGAACUUUUCUUUUUCGUUCUCUAAAGCAUCUUUGUUCUUCAAACUGAAAAUUCAAGUAACUUUUCAGGCAAGAAUUAUAAUCGUGCUCUGAUCUGUACGGUAUUUAUGUGCAUUUGCUAAAGCCCGAUUUCACUAUGAUAUUGGAGAGUAAGAGGAGCAACCAGCAACACAUGAGAGACAAGGGUCAAUAAAGUAAGAGAAGAAAACUUGUUGGAGUGGUUGUGCGAGUAGAGCCACUGACAUUGGCAGUCAAGUGGAGGAAGGAGAACUUAUCGAAGUGGUCAGGGUCAUGAGGCAGAGCCGCAAGCGACCAAGUGAGCAACGACAACAAGGCUUAGGAAGAGCGGUUCAUUGGAGUGGUUAAGAUCUUUAGUGGCACGGACGACACGGAUGUGAGAAAGGAGAGCUUGCUGAGUUUAGUUUACGUGACGAGAGUUGCUGGCAAUUGAACUGAGAAAAGAAUGGCUUGGCAAAGUGGAUAUAUUUGCAAAGCGGACCACAACUGACGCGAAAGUGGCAACAACAAGGGAGUUUGACAAGGUGAAGCUACCGCCUACGGGCGAUGUGUAAUGGCAGUAAAUCGAAAGAAGAAGAGCUCGUCAGAGUAGCCAAGGUUAGUGUUGGGGCCGGUGGCGAGCGAAAGAAGGAGGCUAUGCUAGAUUAGUUAGGAAUCGAGGUUUGGCAAAAGUUAGGGCAAUAGUGUUCACUAGGAAUAACGCGAGAAAGACGAGGUAGAGGAAACUUCUUUAAUCUAGAGGUGGUGGUGUGGACGGAGGCAAGGUCAACUGAUGCAGUUAGAGGUGGUGAAAGAUUGAAAAAUAUGAAUCAUGUUAAUUCAAUGACCAAAAAAAUUGUCCACAAUGAGAUAAAAACGUUGAAAUGCCUUCUCAUAUUUAGUGUUUCUUUGAUUCGAAGGGUGUUCGUGGGAAUUUUAGAGGAUUGAAUCCUUAAGUUUUUUUUCUACAUGGGUUGUUUGAUUUGUAUGAUCAAAUUUCAUGGAAAAACUUUGUAAGGAUUCCAUUGCACUGCUUUUCAUAGAAAAUUUUCUAUCCACUUCAACCUCUUUUUAAGAUUUGUGUCUUCCUACUCUGGUCCAACCACAAUCCCGUGAGAUUCAAACAGACAUGACAUUGCAAUCGAUUUUCCUUUUCUUUAACGUAGACCUUAUAGCUAUUCUAUGGUUCUGUCAAUGAACAGCUCAGGGAGGACAUCGCGCUUCAGCAGUCAUGUGAAGUGAGCUUUGGGACAUAAAGUUCGUUUGAGUUCUGUAAAAAAGUUGAGCAGAGCACUCGAAAAGGACUUGGAUCUUUAAACUCCUCGGAGGAUCAGAUGCAUUGGCAGUCUCAUCGAGCGAACUGAAAACGUACUUGGUGGGCGCAAAAUGUCCACACGCGUGCUCAACACAUAUCUCAGGGAACACAUGUAUAAACUACCAAAACGAAUGAUAGAAGUGCAGAACACUAAACAAGAUCCAUGAAGUUCCCAGUAACAAACCUUAGCUUCACGUUCUAACUUCACUAUCAACUUUGCACCUGAACAUCUAACUCGUGAGAAAUGGUAAACCCCCUAAAAAAUUGUUCUCGCACUACAUUUCUCUGCACGUAGAUCUCUGAUGAAUCCAGCACUACGUUUUCUAACACGUAGAGUAUCUCUGAAAAAAUCCUGCUUUUCGAUCAAAAAAGAAAAUCUGACGAAUCCUAAAAACGCAAAGAGAAAAACGAAUAACCAGCCAACAGUGGAUGCUUCCACAUGCCGGCCGUUGGCGUGUGCGGGCCGCAUCCGUGAGAUGAUGCGGCCCUCUUCGCAUCGGUCCUUGUCGGGCUCGCGUCGUUCCCGGUCGACUUCCCAUUGUGCAGUGGAAACUUCCUCACAGCAUGUCCAGCAAUAGCCCCAAAAUAAGAUCCUAAAUUUGCAAAUAGGGGCCAGACCCCAUAAGUAGAGACCUAAAAUUUGCAAUCAUCUCCAACAGGAGCCCCUAAAUCACAGUCCCUAUUUCAUUCACAUCUCAUAUUUUAAACCAAAAUUGACCCAAUAUCAACCCAAAUUCGACACAAUUUCAACACAAAUCGCUCAAUUCAACAUCUAUUCAUUCAAUUUCAACACAUAUUUUCCCAAUUCAUCGAUUCAUAUCCAAUUUGAACUCAAAAUUUAAAAAACCACCAGUUUCAGCCCUCACAGUGAAGGAGAGGAGAAGGAGAAGCCUGCCGCGGUCGGGAGAGGAGGCGGUGGUCGGCGGCGCCCAUGGGAGGAGGAGGAGGAGGCGGUAGGCGACGCUCAGGAGAGAGAGCAGGCCGCUGUGGAGGAGGAGGUCGGCGCCGGCAGGCCGCGGGGGAGGAGGAGGCCGACUCUGGCUGGAUCUGGCGGUGGCAGGAAGCGCUCGGUGCAGGCAGGACGUGCAGUCAGGGAAGAACUGUGUUGGGAAGAAGAAUCUGGGGAAGUUGGAGAGUAGGGGCCUCCUACUUGGCCCGUGGAAUUGGGGGCUGGGGGCAAGAUUUAGCGGCUCUAAAAUUUUUAGGGGCCUGUUUAGAAGGCCUGCUGGAAAAGGAUUUUUGUCUCAAACCUCCAAAUUUGGAGUAGGGACUGAGAGCCCUGCUGGACAUGCCGGCCGGCCUGCCUUCUCUCCACGGCGCACCGAACAACGGUACUGCAGGAUUUCAAAAGACGGUGCCGAGAAAAUUGCAGUGGAACUCUGACUGGAUUUCCCUACGAUGACUGAUGAACUCCGUUGUACGGGACAACUGGAUAAAAUUGACUAAUUGGUCAUGGGCGAUGAUAAAACACACUCCGUACUUGAACCGAUUCAAGUGAUGAAAGAUCUCCUGCUACUAUGGUUGUUUUUCCUUUCCCAUUCCACUGGGGACUCCUGAAACUCUGCAUAGAAAAAUGGGGGGCUUUCCAGGAGAAAGACAUUGCAAACAAAGCUUCGGCGCAGGGAGCGUAAAUUCAAGUUUCUUUCACACAAAACCAUCAUGAACUGUAGUUUUUACACUUCACUUAUUUCACUGAUUGUAUUCACUAGACAUGACGCUGCUGAUAAACUGCACAACGUCCACAAUUGAUAGCUCAGAAAAGAUGCAUCAGACAUUCCUUGGGUACUUUAGGAGUUGAUUGAAAAAAGUCACAAAUGAAUACCGGUCCGUAAAGCCACCAUGGAAACUGCUACAAUGUCAAAGGAUAACCGACAGUUGUGACUCUCAUGGUGCAUCAUGUCCUAACAGCAUCCUGAUGAUCCUUGACCCCGGUUGCCACCCGCCACAUCCACGGUGUCAGGCACAUACCUUCAAGAGUGGAUUUCAAUUAGAUUGCAGAACGAAGCAUAGGCAACGAUGCGAUAUUAGUACCAAAACUAUGCAGACAUAAAAGGCAAGAAAUAAUCAGCACCUCAAAACAGAGACAAUCUAUCUGCCUAAAGAAAUUAAAAGAAAGUAUCGUUGAUGGGAGCAAACAUCAACUAAAAGAAAUAUUCAUAUUUCAAAUGCCAUUCCCAAGUAUUCCCAUCUGUGUUACUAUUUGAUAUGUCACAAAUAUAUAGCCACAGUAAGUUCAAUGAACUUUCCCAAAUGAUCAGAUAGUAAGAGAAACUGUGCUUACAGUUCUUCCUCUGGUUCGUUCUUCAGUGCAUUCUUUACUAUACAUUGGAAAGCCUCUUCCACGUUUAAUCCAUCCUUGGCAGAAGUCUCAAAGUAUGGGAUGUUCCCUUUAGACGCACACCAUGCCUUCGCCUUUUUCUCAGAGACCUAAAUGGAAGCAGUUCACAUAUCCCUAACAAUCCACACCGGAGAAACUAUUUAUCGAGAAAGUAAAAUAUAAAGCAAUAUUGAUCAUUACCACACGACUGUUUCCACCAUCUACGUCAACUUUGUUACCCAGCAGAACAAAAGGGAAGUUAUCAGGAUCAGAUGGGCUAGCCUGUUAAGGUAGACACCCCAAGUGAGACACAAAUGACGUGAUUCUACAUUGUUAAUGAAUAUAUAAAGAAAAACACUUCACCUGAAUUAGAAAUUCUUCACGCCAGUUGUUUAGGUUAUCAAAUGAUUUCAUAGAAUUAACAUCAUAAACUAGAACACAGCAAUCUGCUCCACGGUAGAAUGCAACACCAAGACUUUGAAACCUUUCCUGACCAGCAGUAUCCCAUAUCUAAAAAAAUAAAUAGGGCUAAGCAUCAUAUAUAAGCAGUACAGGGACAAUAGACCAAUGACGGAAGAAAAAAAAAUGCAGGAUCACAGAUACCAGAAAAAGCUCAACAAAUAGAUUUCUGAUGUAUCCAUACUCAGUUGUGAUCUAACGGGAACCAGAUGAAACACGAAGGAGAUGCUGUAGUUUGAAAUUUAGAAUACCUGAAAUUAACGUGAAAAAUGUACAUUUGCUAAUUUGUAGGGGUUAAAUACUUAGGCUAAUUUGUAGGGGCUAAUUUGGUGCGGGGAAACAAUAACUAAUAACUAAGCUGCAUAAGGCCCAACGCUAGUUCUGAGCAACAGCAAGCCAACAUAAGUACAACUUGAAAGAACUUAGCCUUUCUUGGAAGUGUUCUGAUGUAGAAUUUUUAUUCAAAACACAUAAGGCGGUACACUAUAUGAUGCUCACACAACUCAAGUAAACUCAUCUACUUAAAACACAACAAAACCAGUUAUGCUGCGUCCAUUAUCCAAGCACAAUAAUCUUGACAAACAAAACCGCAUAUCAGGCACGGAUUGAACCAGUCAUGGAACAUCAAUUGUAUGAUGAUAUGAACAAAGAAACAAUCAACAGCAACUCUCUUUCUCUUGUACUUUCAAAUCAGAGGGAACCAGUUCAGUAACUAAGGAAGAUCACGCCAAUUCGCACUGAUGCUCGCAUGAACCAACUGAGCUACUCACAGAGCAAAGACC